CUCGAGGCCAGAUCUUUCCGGUUGAUCCCGCCGGACCCGACCGCUAUCGGGGUAGGGCUAAGCCAUGCGAGUCGCGCGCCCGGGGGCGCCCGGGAGCGGCGCACGGCUCAGUAACACGUGCCUAACCUAACCUCGGGAGGGGGACACCCCCGGGAAACUGGGGUCAAUCCCCCAUAGGGGAAGGGCGCUGGAAGGCCCCUUCCCCGAAAGGGACGGCGGCCGAUCCGUCGCCGUCCGCCCGAGGGUGGGGGCACGGCCCAUCAGGUAGUUGGCGGGUUAAAGGCCCGCCAAGCCGAAGACGGGUAGGGGCGGUGAGAGCCGCGAGCCCCGAGAUCGGCACUGAGACAAGGGCCGAGGCCCUACGGGGUGCAGCAGGCGCGAAUACUCCGCAAUGCGGGCAACCGCGACGGGGCUACCCCGAGUGCCGGGCGAAGAGCCCGGCUUUUGCCCGGUCUAAAACGCCGGGCGAAUAAGCGGGGGGCAAGUCUGGUGUCAGCCGCCGCGGUAAUACCAGCUCCGCGAGUGGUCGGGGUGUUUACUGGGCUUAAA
rnacentral:rRNA from 1 species